rnacentral:rRNA from 1 species
AUUGAACGCUGGCGGAAUGCUUUACACAUGCAAGUCGAACGGCAGCACGGGGCAACCUGGUGGCGAGUGGCGAACGGGUGAGUAAUACAUCGGAACGUGCCCAAUCGUGGGGGAUAACGUAGCGAAAGUUACGCUAAUACCGCAUACGAUCUACGGAUGAAAGCGGGGGAUCGCAAGACCUCGCGCGAGUGGAGCGGCCGAUGUCAGAUUAGGUAGUUGGUGGGGUAAAGGCUCACCAAGCCAACGAUCUGUAGCUGGUCUGAGAGGACGACCAGCCACACUGGAACUGAGACACGGUCCAGACUCCUACGGGAGGCAGCAGUGGGGAAUUUUGGACAAUGGGCGCAAGCCUGAUCCAGCCAUUCCGCGUGCAGGAUGAAGGCCUCGGUGUAACUGCUUUGUACGACGAACGGCGAGCUCUAAUACAGUUGCUAAUGACGGUACCGUAACGAAUAAGACACGGCUAACUACGUGCCAGCAGCCGCGGUAAAAC